rnacentral:rRNA from 1 species
AGUGAACGCUGGCGGUAGGCCUAACACAUGCAAGUCGAACGGCAGCACAGUAAGAGCUUGCUCUUACGGGUGGCGAGUGGCGGACGGGUGAGGAAUACAUCGGAAUCUACUUUUUCGUGGGGGAUAACGUAGGGAAACUUACGCUAAUACCGCAUACGACCUACGGGUGAAAGCAGGGGAUCUUCGGACCUUGCGCGAUUGAAUGAGCCGAUGUCGGAUUAGCUAGUUGGCGGGGUAAAGGCACACCAAGGCGACGAUACGUAGCUGGUCUGAGAGGAUGAUCAGCCACACUGGAACUGAGACACGGUCCAGACUCCUACGGGAGGCAGCAGUGGGGAAUAUUGGACAAUGGGCGCAAGCCUGAUCCAGCCAUACCGCGUGGGUGAAGAAGGCCUUCGGGUUGUAAAGCCCUUUUGUUGGGAAAGAAAAGCAGCAGGUUAAUACCCCGCUGUUCUGACGGUACCCAAAGAAUAAGCACCGGCUAACUUCGUG